rnacentral:rRNA from 1 species
GACGAACGCUGGCGGCGUGCCUAACACAUGCAAGUCGAGCGAAGAACUUCGGUUCUUAGCGGCGGACGGGUGAGUAACACGUGGGUAACCUGCCUCAAAGAGGGGGAUAGCCUCCCGAAAGGGAGAUUAAUACCGCAUAAUAUUAGAUCUUCACAUGGAGAUUUAAUUAAAGGAGUAAUCCGCUUUGAGAUGGACCCGCGGCGCAUUAGCUAGUUGGUGAGGUAACGGCUCACCAAGGCGACGAUGCGUAGCCGACCUGAGGGGGUGAUCGGCCACAUUGGAACUGAGACACGGUCCAGACUCCUACGGGAGGCAGCAGUGGGGAAUGUUGCACAAUGGGCGAAAGCCUGAUGCAGCAACGCCGCGUGAGUGAUGAAGGCCUUCGGGUUGUAAAACUCUGUCUUUGGGGACGAUAAUGACGGUACCCAAGGAGGAAGCCACGGCUAACUACGUGCCAGCCGCCGCCGUAA